rnacentral:rRNA from 1 species
GACGAACGCUGGCGGCGUGCUUAACACAUGCAAGUCGAACGGAAAGGCCUGCUUUCCCUUGUGGAUUGCGGGUACUCGAGUGGCGAACGGGUGAGUAACACGUGAGUUAUCUGCCCCCAACUUGGGUAUAAGCCUGGGAAACUGGGUCUAAUUCCCGAUAGGUCUGCAGGGUGGUGCCUGUGGUGGAACACGAUUUUCUAGUGGUUGGGGAUGAGCUCGCGGCCUAUCAGCUUGUUGGUGGGGUAAUGGCCUACCAAGGCGGCGACGGGUAGCCGGCCUGAGAGGGUGGACGGCCACAUUGGGACUGAGAUACGGCCCAGACUCCUACGGGAGGCAGCAGUGGGGAAUAUUGCACAAUGGGCGGAAGCCUGAUGCAGCGACGCCGCGUGGGGGAUGACGGCCUUCGGGUUGUAAACUCCUUUCGACCGCGAGGAAGCCACCUGGUUGGAAGGGUGGUGACGGUAGUGGUAGAAGAAGCACCGGCUAACUACGUG